rnacentral:rRNA from 1 species
GGUUGACCUCGGAUCAGGUAGGACUACCCGCUGAACUUAAGCAUAUCAAUAAGCGGAGGAAAAGAAACCAACAGGGAUUGCCCUAGUAACGGCGAGUGAAGCGGCAACAGCUCGAAUUUGAAAUCUGGCCUCGGCCCGAGUUGUAAUCUGUAGAGGACGCUUUUGGCGCGGUGCCUUCCGAGUUCCCUGGAACGGGACGCCACAGAGGGUGAGAGCCCCGUAAGGUCGGACACCAAGCCUGUGUAAAGCCCCUUCGACGAGUCGAGUAGCUUGGGAAUGCUGCUCUAAGCGGGAGGUAUACUUCUUCUAAAGCUAAAUAUUGGCCAGAGACCGAUAGCGCACAAGUAGAGUGAUCGAAAGAUGAAAAGCACUUUGAAAAGAGGGUCAAAUAGUACGUGAAAUUGUUGAAAGGGAAGCGCUUGUGAUCAGACUCGCGCCGGGCGGAUCAUCCAGUGGUCUCCACUGGUGCACUCCGGCCGGCGCGGGCCAGCGUCGGCUGUUGCGGGGGGACAAAAGCUCUGGGAACGUAGCUCUCUCCGGGGAGUGUUAUAGCCCUCUGCAGAAUACCCCCGCGGCGGCCGAGGUCCGCGCAUUGCAAGGACGCUGGCGUAAUGGUCAUCAGCGACCCGUCUUGAAACACGGACCAAGGAGUCGAGGUUUUGCGCGAGUGUUCGGGUGCAAAGCCCCAACGCGUAAUUAACGUGAACGUAGGUGAGAGCUUCGGCGCAUCAUCGACCGAUCCUGAUGUAUUCGGAUGGAUUUGAGUAGGAGCGUAAAGCCUCGGACCCGAAAGAUGGUGAACUAUGCCUGUAUAGGGUGAAGCCAGAGGAAACUCUGGUGGAGGCUCGCAGCGGUUCUGACGUGCAAAUCGAUCGUCAAAUAUGGGCAUGGGGGCGAAAGACUAAUCGAACCAUCUAGUAGCUGGUUACCGCCGAAGUUUCCCUCAGGAUAGCAGUGUUGUUCUUCAGUUUUAUGAGGUAAAGCGAAUGAUUAGGG